GUGGGGAAUCUUGCGCAAUGGGCGAAAGCCUGACGCAGCCAUGCCGCGUGGAUGAUGAAGGUCUUAGGAUUGUAAAGUCCUUUCACCGGUGAAGAUAAUGACUGUAGCCGGAGAAGAAGCCCCGGCUAACUUCGUGCCAGCAGCCGCGGUAAUACGAAGGGGGCUAGCGUUGCUCGGAUUUACUGGGCGUAAAGGGCGCGUAGGCGGACAUUUAAGUCAGGGGUGAAAUCCCGGGGCUCAACCUCGGAACUGCCUUUGAUACUGGGUGUCUUGAGUAUGAGAGAGGUGUGUGGAACUCCGAGUGUAGAGGUGAAAUUCGUAGAUAUUCGGAAGAACACCAGUGGCGAAGGCGACACACUGGCUCAUUACUGACGCUGAGGCGCGAAAGCGUGGGGAGCAAACAGGAUUAGAUACCCGGGUAGUCC
rnacentral:rRNA from 1 species